CGGAAAUAUUCAACCGUUAGUUUGUUCUGAAUUUUUGAUAUGUUAUGGAAGAGAUGAUGAGGAACAACUUCGAUGAAGAAAGUAUGUUGAUCUGAACAAGAGAAAAUGGAGUUUCGAAGCUCACAACAAGUCUGACGGGUUAACAGAAAAUUGAUGAACAGUUACUCAUCAUACUUGAAUUUCUGAAGUUGUACUACUCCGAUGGAUCUCAAAUUUGGAUAUGUUAUAGUUCACAAGAUAAGGAACAACUUUCAUGAAGAUGACUUUGCAAUCUGAGCUAUAGAGAAUGGUGUUAUCUUGCAUCCACUCAGGCUGAUUAGUGGAAACGAAAAGCAAUUCCACCAAAGAAAAGAUGAAAAAGAGAGAAAAGCUACUAAUUGCACUUGAUCUUGUCUAGUCAAUAGCAUGCAGCAUCAAACACACAAAAGUUUGAAAUAUUUUUAGAUAAAGCAUAUACGAAUGUGUGACAUCGAAACAAGGAUUCGUUACUUUGACAAAUUAGUAACAAGCGAGACACCUCAUUCGGCAACUCUUUUCACCUGAAGACUUGGGGGACUCCCACCAUAUGUUACUGCACCUUGAUACUCGACAGUCUCACAACCACUCAGUGACUUGGAUUUUUCAAGUCUCCAACCGAGAAGUUUUCCUCACUCGGGAAAUUAAGGGAACACUACCUCAAACUACACGCUUCACUCACAAAGCUUCAACAAUACAAGUUUCAACAAAAGAAAAAAUUCAAAGAACUUUCUGAAGAAGGCUUUGGUGUAUUUAACACAAUAUGUUGAAAUGAAGCAAAGCUCAUUUAUUAAUAUUUUCGAUAAAGCCACAAAUAUGUACAUAUACAUGAGUCAAAAUAAACAAACAAAAGGGAGCCUUCAUAAAGGUUGCUUAGGGGAAGUCUCAGCAGUCGGUAGAGCCCCAGAAAGAGAAAGCACCGGAGGGUGGUUAUCCGGAGCCUCAGUACUUGACAAAACCCCAGAAGGAGGAGGCAUUGGAGGUUCAUCAUUUGAAGCUUCAUUACCAGGUACAGCCCCAGAAGACGAAGGCAAUAAAUGCCUUUGGAACAAACCC
rnacentral:lncRNA from 1 species